AUACGUAGGGGGCGAGCGUUGUCCGGAAUGAUUGGGCGUAAAGGGCGCGUAGGCGGCCCGGUAAGUCUGGAGUGAAAGUCCUGCUUUUAAGGUGGGAAUUGCUUUGGAUACUGUCGGGCUUGCGUGCAGGAGAGGUAAGUGGAAUUCCCAGUGUAGCGGUGAAAUGCGUAGAGAUUGGGAGGAACACCAGUGGCGAAGGCGACUUACUGGACUGUAACUGACGCUGAGGCGCGAAAGUGAGGGGAGCAAACAGGAUUAGAUACCCUGGUAGUCCACACUGUAAACGAUGAAUGCUAGGUGUAGGGGGUAUCGACCCCUUCUGUGCCGCAGUUAACACAAUAAGCAUUCCGCCUGGGGAGUACGGCCGCAAGGUUGAAACUCAAAUGAAUUGGCGGGG
rnacentral:rRNA from 1 species